UGGGGAAUUUUGGACAAUGGGCGAAAGCCUGAUCCAGCAAUGCCGCGUGUGUGAAGAAGGCCUUCGGGUUGUAAAGCACUUUUGUCCGGAAAGAAAUCCUUGGCUCUAAUACAGUCGGGGGAUGACGGUACCGGAAGAAUAAGCACCGGCUAACUACGUGCCAGCAGCCGCGGUAAUACGUAGGGUGCAAGCGUUAAUCGGAAUUACUGGGCGUAAAGCGUGCGCAGGCGGUUUGCUAAGACCGAUGUGAAAUCCCCGGGCUCAACCUGGGAACUGCAUUGGUGACUGGCAGGCUAGAGUAUGGCAGAGGGGGGUAGAAUUCCACGUGUAGCAGUGAAAUGCGUAGAGAUGCGGAGGAAUACCGAUGGCGAAGGCAGCCCCCUGGGCCAAUACUGACGCUCAUGCACGAAAGCGUGGGGAGCAAACAGGAUUAGAUACCCUGGUAGUCCACGCCCUAAACGAUGUCAACUAGUUGUUGGGGAUUCAUUUCCUUAGUAACGUAGCUAACGCGUGAAGUUGACCGCCUGGGGAGUACGGUCGCAAGAUUAAAACUCAAAUGAAUUGACGGGGUCAUAGCUGUUUCCU
rnacentral:rRNA from 1 species